ACAGCGGUUUAUGUAUUUCGAUCAAACGGGUGGGAACUACCUAGGUUUGGAGUAUAAAAAGGUCGGAUCACCUUCCCCCUAGUCUGUCUCCCUCGCCUCAUUCAUCAGAGACUCACCUCACCGUUCUCUGUCAUGAACCGCCGCCGGAAAUCGCCUCCCAGCGGCGGCUAGUCGCCAUUUCCAUCCAAAAAUACACCCUAGGUGCUCCUCUUCCUCCUCUUUCUGAAUCUACCCUUAUUUUCAUUCAAAUCGCAACCCAACUAUUCGAAUCUUCAUGUGAAAAUCUGGCCAAAACACCACUGCCUCCAAACUCCGCCAAAUUAACACCAUAUGACUUCCUACACUCCUCAUCCCAAAUCUACAACCCUUAGCCUUCGAAUCAUUCUCGUUUGGUUCGAAUUCCAGGUCAAAAUUUUGGCCUAAACCCUAACUUCUAACAAUUGGGGAUAAUUGGUUUUUGGGCUAUAAUAGGCCUUAAUUAGGCAUUUUCUUACGGAAAUAUCUAAUUAGGGAUACUUAUAAUCCGGAUUUGUUGAGAAAGGGCCACCAAUGUUCGAGUUUGAGUCGGAAGUUCGUGGUAUCUUUUUUCUUUUUCCAAUUCUUUUUCUUCUCUGUUUCAUCAGUGAUUUUGUUAUUGUUUUCGUUCUGUUUUACUUUUAUUAUUUUUGUGAUGAGUUUGGAAUUUUGAUUUGGGUUUUGAUUUCUCAUGUAGUUUAGUGUAGUUGAUUAGAGAUUUGAAUCGUUCGAUUUGAUUCCAUUUUUGUUUGUUGCUUUGCAUUUUUCUGAUUUUGUUUGUAAUUAAUUUCAGUUUGAUUUUAAUUGAUUAAAUUUACGGCUACAUUAGUUCUAUGAUACAUUUAGGAUUCCUAUUAUGUUAAUUUCAGUUUGUCUAGCUAGAUUCGUUAUAUUCCAUUAUGUUAAAUUGGUUUGAAUAUAGCUAAGUAGCGUAGCUAAAUUAACUUUAGUUAUAUUUUAACUUAGGUAAAAGGGAGUAUCAUUGGUCAGUAAUUUCAGGGGGGUUUUAGGGGUAGUUUAGGCACAGAAAAGGGUAGUUUUGUUAAGAAUAGUAAUUUCAAAACAAAAGCAAGGGUAGUAUAGGCACUGUAUAGGUAGAUGAACACCCUAGGGCCUUCUAGAAUAGGACUUUAGUGUAGAAUUCAGUAAACUUAGGGCAGUAACUUAAGAAACAAGUCAAAAAUUGAAGGACUAAUAGGUGAAGUCUGAAAUUAAAAGAAGGAAAAAUGUGUGAGUGCAAUCUAGAACAUUCGACCCUAUUUGUUGCCUAUAAAAGGCAACCUCAAUGCCUUCAUUGAAGUUUGGCAGCCCAAGUUUUCCCCAAAUACCUCCAAGCUGAAACAGAUAUUAGAAAUCAAAAUUUCAGAUUAAAAUCCUCUUACAUUAUAACUUUCUUCAUAUAGAAAAACCAAAAACAUUAGAAAUUUUCAAAAAUCCAAAAACAAAGAAAAAGGCAAUAGAAAAUCAAAAAAAAAAAACUGUUACAUUAGUGUUUCCCUUAGGUCGUUUUCAGAUUUAAUUCAAAUCCCUAGCUCAUUUAGGAUCAAAAUCACUUGAAUCUCCUAGUGUUGUUCGAUAUCUGAUGGUAUGAAGGUAGUUCGAGUCGUCUAGGUGUUGUAUUUGGUUAAUUCAAGUCAACUGUGGGUCAUCUAUUGAGUGUGUUCAUUUUUGGGCAUUUUGUGCUAUUUUGGGGUUAGUAUAUCAAUCUCGUUUGGUUUAAAGCUUCCAAAUCAUUGGUGUUUGCUCUGCUGUGGCCAACCUCUGAUUUUUCUUACUCUAUUCUGCUAUCCAGGUACACAUUUGUAUCCCUGUUGAUUAUGAGUUAAACAUAUGAAGGAAUGAAGAUGUGUGAAGAAUGGAAGCCUAAUUUGAAUUAGCUUAUUUCAGAUUCUUGUUUAGUUAUGUACUAAUUGGGCUGUGUUAAAUACCGUUUCUCGAUUUUGUGUGAACGUCAUAAAGUGAACAUUAGUCGUAGAUGAUUUUACAAUCAUUCGAUGGAAUAAUCUCAUUACUAGCCACAGUCUGUUACUUCAUGUAUCUGUUUAGGAAAUAGCUCAGUAACGAGAUAAACAUUUCUGUCUCAUUUUUAUAUAAAUUGUUUAGGAUUGCUGGAAUUCGAAUUUGGUUAGGCUCAAUAAUAAAGAUAACAGGUGUUAAUCCGAAAUCAUAGGUUAAUCAUGAUUAUGUAUUUAAAUUUAGCUUUGCCUGAACUUCACGUAUAGAAUUCACCAGUGCCGCAUGAAUCUGAGUUUGAAAUGUUUGUUAUUCACCUCCAGCAUGACCAUAUCUUAGUCACGUGCCUGUAUAAGUAUUCAGAAUGAAGUGUUUAAACUGCUUUGCCUGUUGUCAAAUUGUCUGCUUGGUUACCUUGAGUUAGUGUAUUUGAGUGAUUGGUUAUUGAAUUUCCUUUUUGUAACAUCGGGCCCAAAUGUCAAGCCCAUUAGGAAACAAUUUCCUCCAUGACUGAAACUCUUAAAAUCAGCACACCUGGGCCUGGACCUUUCAUCAUAGGCCCAAAAACGUUCUACUUAUUGUAAAUAUAAUCUGGACUGAUUUGGUCCAAUUGCUGAAAUGCCUCAUCUUUUAGUUAUUAAAUUGUUGGGUUCAACUGAUUUAAGACUGAAUAAUAAGAAUUCAGCUUCUCCGAGUAUAUUAAUUAAUUAGGACUUUACUGUUAUUAUUAGAGACA
rnacentral:lncRNA from 1 species